CACCCUUCGCGCCCGAAUACGUGCGUGCGUAGCCUCGCUAGCGUGCCUGGGCUGUGCCCCUGGGACCAGGGGGCGCCAUCUUGACUCAUGGUCCAAGAUGGCGACCUGGAACGCUGAGCGAGAGAAUCAAGACGGGAAGAGACUCAUGAGAGCCUAUAGAAUGGGCGGGGGACCUAGGAGAGGGACGAUAAUUGCGAAGACCAGAGGGCCGGAAGAAGAAACAUUCUAAGCGCAUCAAGAAUUCUGGCCGACUCCCCACAGCCCCGGGUUCCCAUGGCAACCGCCUGGCGCUUGAUGGUUACAUCUUUCAGCACAAGCGUGGAAAGAUUUGUGUAUUCGGCUAUUUUGUCAUCCGCAUAUGAUAGCACAGGACAUGCUCUGCACUGUAAACUCUCAGACCUUCCCGAUAUUUGUAACUUUGGCUGCUGCCACUGGCCCCGGCUCCAAACCUUCAGUGUCCUGUAUUUUGACAUUUCUUUGUGUCCGUCUCUACCCACUUCAUUCUCCCACUCCUACCCCUUUACACACACCACAUCAGAGCUUUUUUGUGGGGACUGAGUAAAAGACCUUUAGGAAAUUUCAGGUAUCGAUUCCUUCUAUGCAUGCAGAGUAGAUAUGAACAGCAAAAAUAAAAAAUAAAAAAAUUGAAGCAGAAAUAGUCUGCCUGAGAGAUUUUAUGUGGAUACUGCUUGAAUUAAAAGCCUGCCUCAUUCAUUUAAAUUUUCUAAAGAUAUUCUUCUAGGUAUUGUAUGCAUUGCAACAUUAAAAUGUUCAUUAAUAGAGAAAUGAAUAAAUACAGGG
rnacentral:lncRNA from 1 species